rnacentral:rRNA from 1 species
GACGAACGCUGGCGGCGUGCUUAACACAUGCAAGUCGAGCGGUAAGGCCUUUCGGGGUACACGAGCGGCGAACGGGUGAGUAACACGUGGGUGAUCUGCCCUGCACUUCGGGAUAAGCCUGGGAAACUGGGUCUAAUACCGGAUAUGACCUCCUAUCGCAUGGUGGGUGGGGGAAAGAUUUAUCGGUGCAGGAUGGGCCCGCGGCCUAUCAGCUUGUUGGUGGGGUAAUGGCCUACCAAGGCGACGACGGGUAGCCGACCUGAGAGGGUGACCGGCCACACUGGGACUGAGACACGGCCCAGACUCCUACGGGAGGCAGCAGUGGGGAAUAUUGCACAAUGGGCGGAAGCCUGAUGCAGCGACGCCGCGUGAGGGAUGACGGCCUUCGGGUUGUAAACCUCUUUCAGCAGGGACGAAGCGCAAGUGACGGUACCUGCAGAAGAAGCACCGGCUAACUACGUG